rnacentral:rRNA from 1 species
ACCCAGACUCCUACGGGAGGCAGCAGUGGGGAAUAUUGCACAAUGGGGGAAACCCUGAUGCAGCGACGCCGCGUGGGCGAGGAAGUACCUCGGUAUGUAAAGCUCUAUCAGCAGGGAAGAAAAUGACGGUACCUGACUAAGAAGCCCCGGCUAACUACGUGCCAGCAGCCGCGGUAAUACGUAGGGGGCAAGCGUUAUCCGAAUUUACUGGGUGUAAAGGGAGCGUAGACGGCAUGGCAAGCCAGAUGUGAAAUACCGGGGCUCAACCCCGGGACUGCAUUUGGAACUGUUAAGCUGGAGUGUCGGAGAGGCAGGCGGAAUUCCUAGUGUAGCGGUGAAAUGCGUAGAUAUUAGGAGGAACACCAGUGGCGAAGGCGGCCUGCUGGACGAUAACUGACGUUGAGGCUCGAAAGCGUGGGGAGCAAACAGGAUUAGAUACCCGGGUA